rnacentral:rRNA from 1 species
CAGUAGCCGCGGUAAUACGAAGGGGGCUAGCGUUGUUCGGAUUUACUGGGCGUAAAGCGCACGUAGGCGGACUUUUAAGUCAGGGGUGAAAUCCCGGGGCUCAACCCCGGAACUGCCUUUGAUACUGGAAGUCUUGAGUAUGGUAGAGGUGAGUGGAAUUCCGAGUGUAGAGGUGGAAUUCGUAGAUAUUCGGAGGAACACCAGUGGCGAAGGCGGCUCACUGGACCAUUACUGACGCUGAGGUGCGAAAGCGUGGGGAGCAAACAGGAUUAGAUACCCGCGUAGUCCCUGUCUCUUAUAC